rnacentral:rRNA from 1 species
GCGCAGCAGGCGCGAAAACUCCGCAAUACGCGAAAGUGUGAACGGGCUACCCCGAGUGCCGACCGCUGAGGAUGGCUUUUCUCUGCUGUAAGAAGGCAGAGGAAUAAGGAGAGGGCAAGUCUGGUGUCAGCCGCCGCGGUAAUACCAGCUCUCCGAGUGGUAGGGAUGAUUAUUGGGCUUAAAGCGUCCGUAGCUGGCCUUUCAAGUCUCUUGUUAAAUCCAGCGAUUCAAUCGUUGGACUGCGGGGGAUACUGUUAGGCUAGGGGGCGUGAGCAGCCGACGGUAUUUCCGGGGUAGGGGUAAAAUCCUAUAAUCCCGGGAAGACCACCAGUGGCGUAGGCGGUCGGCUAGCACGCGCUCGACAGUGAUGGACGAAAGCUGGGGUAGCGAACCGGAUUAGAUACCCGGGUAGGCC